GAGGAAGUGACGUCACUCACCACAUCCUUCUGAAAGUAGAUGAGGCCAACGGUGGCAAUUUCAGCGAGGAGGAUGAGGAGGAGGCAGGUGAAGUACUGAGGAAGAAAAGACAGAACAGGCCUAGCAGACAGCGAACCUCAUAAAUGGCCCCCAAACAGCCAAGGAAUCCCAGGAGCAUAGAGAAAGCCCCGACACUAAUCAGAAUGUAGCAGGUUACUUUGACAGCAGUGGAGUCGUCUGGAGAGAAGAAGGAAGAGAAUGAGGCGCUGCAGGCUGACGCAACAACACUACUUCAUCUACCACUCGCACGACUAAGGAGAGAUGACCAAGGCUGCCAACAGUACCAGAGAGGAGCCUUAGAACUGAUGUUUGAACCUCUAAGUAGAGAAAAAGACUUCAUCUGUGGAAGACUUCUGUCUGGUACCGUUGUCAGGAGACGGUGUCUGUCCUGUCUCUGUGAGACGGCUGCUGAUGUGAUGGAGAGUUUUGGAAAAAACAACCCAGACAAGAAAAUCCACACAGGCGGGUCACAAGUGAUUAGCGCUGAAGAUGAGACUCCCAGAUGAGAUCGCUGCAGCUGAACAGGAAGUCCACGGGGAGGAAAACUAAAAUCCCUCUGACCAGAGAAGACGUUCAGUACGUACAAGAAAGUACAAGCUACAGAAUAAUAUUUCUACACAGAAGUACUACAGCGAAGAACCUCGACACCAACCAGUUCUGAUCAGUUUGACCCACAGAACUGUUGGUGACACUUCCAUCCUGUAUUAUUCAUGUCCAUGUGAAGAUCACUGUCAGCUUCUGUUUCCACUCCUCCUAUCACUGCCCUUUGAGUUCACAUGUGAUGUAGUACUUCGCAGUACUCUCU